UAGGUUUGAUCCUGGCUCAGAACGAACGCUGGCGGCGUGGAUAAGACAUGCAAGUCGAGCGCUGAUUCCGGGGUAGCAAUAUUCCGGAGUUGGAGCGGCGCAGGGUGCGUAAUACGUGGGCAAUCUGCCGUGAAGUUUGGGAUAACUUGCUGAAAGGCGAGCUAAUACCGGAUGUGAAUGUUGGGAGGCAUCUUCCGACAUUUGAAGCUGGGGACCGAAAGGCCUGGCGCUUCAUGAUGAGCCCGCGGCCUAUCAGCUAGUUGGUGAGGUAACGGCCCACCAAGGCGAAGACGGGUAGCUGGUCUGAGAGGACGACCAGCCACACUGGAACUGAGACACGGUCCAGACACCUACGGGUGGCAGCAGUCGAGAAUUUUUCACAAUGGGCGCAAGCCUGAUGGAGCGACGCCGCGUGGGGGAUGAAUGGCUUCGGCCCGUAAACCCCUGUCAUUCGCGAUCAACCCUUAUUAUUUAAAAGAUGAUAAGCUGAUAGUAGCGGAAGAGGAAGGGACGGCUAACUCUGUGCCAGCAGCCGCGGUAAUACAGAGGUCCCGAGCGUUGUUCGGAUUCACUGGGCGUAAAGGGUGCGUAGGUGGUCAGGUAAGUCGGAUGUGAAAUCUCGGAGCUCAACUCCGAAACGGCAUUGGAAACUACCUGGCUCGAGGAAUGGAGGGGGGACUGGAAUUCUCGGUGUAGCAGUGAAAUGCGUAGAUAUCGAGAGGAACACCAGUGGCGAAGGCGAGUCCCUGGACAUCUCCUGACACUGAGGCACGAAAGCUAGGGGAGCAAACAGGAUUAGAUACCCUGGUAGUCCUAGCCGUAAACGGUGCACGUUUGCUGUAAGCGGAAUCGACCCCGCUUGUGGUGUAGCCCAACGCGUUAAACGUGCCGCCUGGGAAGUACGGUCGCAAGAUUAAAACUCAAAGGAAUUGACGG
rnacentral:rRNA from 1 species